GGCUGGAACACAACACAAACAAUGAUAAGAUGAGGAAGCACAAAGCCUGCGAGUUCCACUCAGCUAUGACAUGCACAGAGUAGCACUGGCCAGGUGCAGUGGUACACUGUGAGCAGGUGUCAGGAACCUAUGCACUUUCUGCCCUUCUUUCCUGUACCCCUCCCUGGCCCAGGAGGAGUUCACAGCAACAUAUCUGCUGUUGCCCCAAGCAAAUGUACUCUGGCUGCUAAUUUGCAGCUGUGCCUACGUGCCGGAGGCUGUCGAUCCCAGGCUUCUGGCUUGCUGGCAUUGCAGAUGGAGGAGCUUGAGAACUGCCACGCUGGUGCGAUUGUUCUGGUGUCUGUGCUGCUGACCAUAGUCAGUAACAAACAUCUUAAAGGAAAGUAUGCUAAUGCUCCCCAUUUCUGGGAUGCAUUUUCUGCCCCCUAG
rnacentral:lncRNA from 1 species